CGGUAACAGGGAGCUUGCUCCGCUGACGAGUGGCGAACGGGUGAGUAAUGCAUCGGAACGUACCGUGUAGUGGGGGAUAACGUAGCGAAAGUUACGCUAAUACCGCAUACGCCCUGAGGGGGAAAGUGGGGGACCGCAAGGCCUCACGCUAUAUGAGCGGCCGAUGUCGGAUUAGUUAGUUGGUAGGGUAAAGGCCUACCAAGGCGACGAUCCGUAGCGGGUCUGAGAGGAUGAUCCGCCACACUGGGACUGAGACACGGCCCAGACUCCUACGGGAGGCAGCAGUGGGGAAUUUUGGACAAUGGGCGCAAGCCUGAUCCAGCCAUGCCGCGUGAGUGAAGAAGGCCUUCGGGUUGUAAAGCUCUUUCAGACGGAAAGAAAUCUCUCGGGAUAAUACCCUGGGAGGAUGACGGUACCGUAAGAAGAAGCACCGGCUAACUACGUGCCAGCAGCCGCGGUAAUACGUAGGGUGCGAGCGUUAAUCGGAAUUACUGGGCGUAAAGCGUGCGCAGGCGGUGAUGUAAGACAGAUGUGAAAUCCCCGGGCUC
rnacentral:rRNA from 1 species